CGAGUGUGUUGAACAGCUGCGAGCAGCUGCCGAAAGGUACUGUGCGAGGAAAGUCCGGGCUUCACAGAGCAAUAAUAACGGCUAACGGCCGCCGGAGGCGACUCCAGGGAUAGUGCAACAGAAAAUUACCGCCAUUAUUAUGGUAAGGAUGGAAAGGUGAGGUAAGAGCUCACCGGAGGGCAGGAGACUGCUCUGCCGUGUAAACCCUAUUUGAAGCAACACCGUGGUAGGACAUUAUACGCUUGCUCGGCGUGUCCUUAGGAGGUGGCAUCGAGCAGAUUCGGUAACGGUCUGCCAAGAUAGAUGGCUGUUCACGACAAAACCCGGCUUACAGACACAGUCGCAUA
rnacentral:RNase_P_RNA from 5 species